rnacentral:rRNA from 1 species
AUUGAACGCUGGCGGCAGGCCUAACACAUGCAAGUCGAACGGUAGCACAGAGAGCUUGCUCUCGGGUGACGAGUGGCGGACGGGUGGGUAAUGUCUGGGAAACUGCCCGAUGGAGGGGGAUAACUACUGGAAACGGUAGCUAAUACCGCAUAAUGUCGCAAGACCAAAGAGGGGGACCUUCGGGCCUCUUGCCAUCGGAUGUGCCCAGAUGGGAUUAGCUAGUUGGUGAGGUAAUGGCUCACCAAGGCGACGAUCCCUAGCUGGUCUGAGAGGAUGACCAGCCACACUGGAACUGAGACACGGUCCAGACUCCUACGGGAGGCAGCAGUGGGGAAUAUUGCACAAAGGGCGCAAGCCUGAUGCAGCCAUGCCGCGUGUAUGAAGAAGGCCUUCGGGUUGUAAAGUACUUUCAGCGGGGAGGAAGGCGAUACGGUUAAUAACCGUAUUGAUUGACGUUACCCGCAGAAGAAGCACCGGCUAACUCCGUG